AGGUUCCCCCAUGUUGAUAGGUUUCCCCAUGUUGAUAGGUUCCCCCAUGUUGAUAGGUUCCCCCAUGUUGAUAGGUUCCCCCAUGUUGAUAGGUUUCCCCAUGUUGAUAGGUUCCCCCAUGUUGAUAGGUUUCCCCAUGUUGAUAGGUUCCCC